rnacentral:rRNA from 1 species
GUAGCUGGUCUGAGAGGAUGRCCAGCCACACUGGAACUGAGACACGGUCCAGACUCCUACGGGAGGCAGCAGUGGGGAAUAUUGGACAAUGGGGGCAACCCUGAUCCAGCAAUGCCGCGUGUGUGAAGAAGGCCUGAGGGUUGUAAAGCACUUUCAGUGGGGAGGAGGGUUGAUAGGUUAAGAGCURAUUAAYUGGACGUUACCCACAGAAGAAGCACCGGCUAACUCCGUGCCAGCAGCCGCGGUAAUACGGAGGGUGCGAGCGUUAAUCGGAAUUACUGGGCGUAAAGGGUGCGUAGGUGGUUUAUUAAGUUAUCUGUGAAAUCCCUGGGCUUAACCUGGGCAGGUCAGAUAADACUGKUUGACUCGAGUAUGG